rnacentral:rRNA from 1 species
CCAAAUCAUCCUUCUGACGGGUGCGUUUGCCGAAACCUUAGCGAGUUAGUAAUAGCGGUCCGCGCGACUCUAAAGAAUGUGGUCUCCUGGAUGUGUUUGUUAUACCCAGGACGCUGGUCAACCGUGAGUUGGCAACACCUUGAGUCUGCAGGAAUAUCCCUUGGCUAGAGGGAUAACCUGCACCUGGAUCCGCCGUCACUCGGCGAUGGUCCACGCCACAGACUAAAUAAUGGUGGAUACCCCUCUAAAAGGUAUUUCAGAUAUAGCCGCGUCCCAAUAUGUUGAAUGUUGGGGUACAACACGUUCCGUAGGUGAACCUGCGGAAGGAUCAUUA